CUCGCUUGGCCCAACCGAAGGCCUGCGUUUAUACGUGGGUUACUGAUGUAGGUGAGGCGGGGCGAG
rnacentral:ncRNA from 1 species